CCUACGGGAGACAGCAGUAGGGAAUAUUGCUCAAUGGGGGAAACCCUGAAGCAGCAACGCCGCGUGGAGGAUGAAGGUUUUCGGAUUGUAAACUCCUUUUGUUAGAGAAGAUAAUGACGGUAUCUAACGAAUAAGCACCGGCUAACUCCGUGCCAGCAGCCGCGGUAAUACGGAGGGUGCAAGCGUUACUCGGAAUCACUGGGCGUAAAGAGCGCGUAGGCGGGUAAGCAAGUCAGAUGUGAAAUCCUAUGGCUUAACCAUAAAACUGCAGUUGAAACUGGUAUUCUUGAGUAUGGGAGAGGUAGGUGGAAUUCGUGGUGUAGGGGUAAAAUCCGUAGAGAUCAAGAAGAAUACUGAUUGCGAAGGCGACCUGCUAGACCAUAACUGACGCUGAUGCGCGAAAGCGUGGGGAGCAAACAGGAUUAGAUACCCCGGUAGUC
rnacentral:rRNA from 1 species